GACGAACGCUGGCGGCGUGCUUAACACAUGCAAGUCGAACGGAAAGGCCCGGCUUUUGUUGGGUGCUCGAGUGGCGAACGGGUGAGUAACACGUGAGUAACCUGCCCUUGACUGUGUGAUAACUUCAGGAAACUGGGGCUAAUACCGGAUAGGAGCUCCUGCUGCAUGGUGGUGGUUGGAGAGUUUCGGCGGUUGGGGAUGGACUCGCGGCUUAUCAGCUUGUUGGUGUGGUAGUGGCUUACCAAGGCUUUGACGGGUAGCCGGCCUGAGAGGGUGAACGGCCACAUUGGGCCUGAGAUACGGAGCAGUCUCAUACGGGCGGCAGUAGUGGGGAAUAUUGCGCAAUGGGCGGAAGCCUGAUGCAGAAACGCCGCGUGCGGGAUGACGGCCUUCGGGUUGUAAACCGAUUUCGACUGUGACGAAGCGUGAGUGACGGUAAUGGGUAAAGAAGCACCGGCUAACUACGUG
rnacentral:rRNA from 1 species